rnacentral:rRNA from 1 species
CGGAACGGGUGAGUAAUGCGUGACCAACCUGCCCAUGCUCCAGAAUAGCUCUUGGAAACGGGUGGUAAUGCUGGAUGCUCCAACUUGACGCAUGUCUUGUUGGGAAAGUGUUUAGUGGCAUGGGAUGGGGUCGCGUCCUAUCAGCUUGUAGGCGGGGUAAUGGCCCACCUAGGCUUCGACGGGUAGCCGGCCUGAGAGGGCGGACGGCCACAUUGGGACUGAGAUACGGCCCAGACUCCUACGGGAGGCAGCAGAA